UCGCUGAGGGAUCGGCCCGCGUCUGAUUAGCUAGUUGGUGGGGUAAUGGCCCACCAAGGCGACGAUCAGUAGCUGGUCUGAGAGGAUGAUCAGCCUCACUGGGACUGAGACACGGCCCAG
rnacentral:rRNA from 1 species